UGUGUGACCACCAUUUCCUUCUCUUUUUCUCUCUUUCUCCUUACCGUAAGGCUUUUUUAGUAAUCUUCUUUCUCUCUCUGCCUUGCCUUCAAGAUUUUAGUGGUGGUCAUGAAUGCUUGUUGCGUCAUAAGGGUAGUGUAAAUGCUCUGUUAGGUGAGAGAGACUGUGUGUUGGUACUUGGUAUGAUAAGGUUUUUGUGGUUAGAGAGAGGGCCGAG